AGAUGAACUACGAGGCGUGGGUGAGGGGCUUCGCGCCGCUGGCGGUGGGGGCGGACGUGCCGACGGCCGUGAGGGAGUUCAGCCGCACCCUGUUCAACAUGCGGCCGGACAUCUCCCUGUUCGUCUCUCGGACGGUGUUCAACAGCGACCUGCGCGGGGUGCUGGGCCUGGUGCGCUCCCCCUGCUGCAUCAUCCAGGGGGUGAAGGACGUCUCCGUCCCCAUCUCGGUGGCCGCCUACUUCAAGGCCCACCUCGGCGGCCGCACCACCGUCGAGAUCCUCCCCGCCGAGGGCCACCUCCCC
rnacentral:lncRNA from 1 species